UACGUAGGGUGCGAGCGUUAAUCGGAAUUACUGGGCGUAAAGCGUGCGCAGGCGGUUUUGUAAGCCAGAUGUGAAAUCCCCGGGCUUAACCUGGGAAUGGCAUUUGGGACUGCAAGGCUGGAGUGUGGCAGAGGAGACUGGAAUUCCUGGUGUAGCAGUGAAAUGCGUAGAUAUCAGGAGGAAUACCGAUGGCGAAGGCAGGUCUCUGGGCUGACACUGACGCUCAUGCACGAAAGCGCGGGGAGCAAACAGG
rnacentral:rRNA from 1 species